CCCUUAGAUGUUCUGGGCUGCACGCGCGCUACACUGAUGCAUGCAACGAGUUUUCGACCUUGCCUGAAAAGGUUGGGUAAUCUGUUUAACAUGUGUCGUGAUGGGGAUAGACCAUUGCAAUUAUUGAUCUUCAACGAGGAAUUCCUAGUAAGCGCGAGUCAUCAGCUCGUGCUGAUUAUGUCCCUGCCCUUUGUACACACCGCCCGUCGCUCCUACCGAUUGAAUGGUCCGGUGAAGUGUUCGGAUCGAGGCGACAUGGGCGGUUCGCUGCCUGUGACGUUGCGAGAAGUCCACUGAACCUUAUCAUUUAGAGGAAGGAGAGGUCGUAACA
rnacentral:rRNA from 1 species